ensembl:lncRNA
GACCUUAAUAAAGAUAAAAAGCUAAACAAUAAUACUGGCAGUUCAGAGAUAAAAGCUAACUGACCUUUGCUGUCCGUUAUUGCAGGAAAGAUUUGCUCAGAAAUCAGAGCAGCUCUGAUCCUCUGCCAGCCUUCACAAGUCCAUAUCACUGCACACUCACUCCAUCUCCGUCAGCAUUCGCGUUCAAGCAGUGUCACAUCGGUUUCGCCAGGCUAGUGCGGGUUAAUGAGAAACUGUGUGUGUAUGCAGGCACAUAUUCACAUGUUGGCUUUACAGGCCACAGCAACAAUCUUCAAACAUUGCUGAUUUGUAUCGAUAUGGACAAAAUGCAAACAAAACCUUUUGACUUCUCCAGUAGCAAGAAUGAGACAAAUUCAGUUCAAUUUUCUUUGUCUAGCACUUUUAAUAAUGUCACAAAGUAACUUUAUUGAAAUAUGGAUGGAGAUUUAGAACCCUAACAAGGAAUCCAGAUACGACAGUGACUACGUUUGAAUGCAUAUCAAUAUUUCGAUAUUAAUCUAAAUUUAGCAAUACUCUAAGUAGUAUUGAGUCAUGUAAACGCCACAGUCCGAUUGCCUGAUUGAGAUUAAGACAAUAUUCUGCAACACGAAUAUAGAGCUUACAUGGAAUUUGGGUAGGGUUAGGGUUAGGGUUUGGGUUAGGGGUUAGGGUUAGGGUUUGGGUUCGGGGUUAGGGUUAGGGGUUUGGGUUAGGGGUUAGGGUUAGGGUUUGGGGUUAGGGUUAGGGGUUAGGGGUAGGGUUUGGGUUAGGGGGUUGGGUUAGGGGUUUGGGUUAGGGUUUGGGUUAGGGGUUAGGGUUAGGAUUAGGGUUAUGGGCUAGUGUUAGGGUUAGGGUAGAGUUUAGGGGUUAGGGUUAUGGGUUAGGGUUAGGGUUAGGGGUGAAGGUUUGUGGUUAGGGUUAGGGUUAGAAUUAUCUCCCUGAGACGACACGAGGAAGAAAAGACGAAUCAAACAUAAAAGCGAACACAUCCUUUUCUGGGUCACAGCGGAUAGUGCUAUUAUAAAUCAUUACUCAUCUCCAGCUGCAUACUCUAAAGUUAAACAGUAU